CCUACGGGCGGCAGCAGUCGAGAAUCAUUCACAAUGGGGGAAACCCUGAUGGUGCGACGCCGCGUGGGGGAAUGAAGGUCUUCGGAUUGUAAACCCCUGUCAUGUGGGAGCAAAUUAAAAAGAUAGUACCACAAGAGGAAGAGACGGCUAACUCUGUGCCAGCAGCCCCGGUAAUUCAGAGGGCUCAAGCGUUGUUGGGAAUCACUGGGCGUAAAGCGUGCGUAGGCUGUUUCGUAAGUCGUGUGUGAAAGGCGCGGGCUCAACCCGCGGACGGCACAUGAUACUGCGAGACUAGAGUAAGGGAGGGGGAACCGGAAUUCUCGGUGUAGCAGUGAAAUGCGUAGAUAUCGAGAGGAACACUCGUGGCGAAGGCAGGUUCCUGGACAUUAACUGACGCUGAGGCACGAAGGCCAGGGGAGCGAAAGGGAUUAGAUACCCCAGUAGUC
rnacentral:rRNA from 1 species